rnacentral:rRNA from 1 species
UACAGAGGUCUCAACCGUUGUUCGGAUUCAUUGGGCGUAAAGGGUGCGUAGGCGGUUUGUCGCGUCGGGAGUGAAAACACGGGGCUUAACCCCGUGCCUGCUUCCGAUACGGGCAGACUAGAGGUAUGCAGGGGAGAACGGAAUUCCUGGUGUAGCGGUGAAAUGCGCAGAUAUCAGGAGGAACACCGGUGGCGAAGGCGGUUCUCUGGGCAUUACCUGACGCUGAGGAGCGAAAGCGUGGGGAGCGAACAGG